rnacentral:rRNA from 1 species
AACGAACGCUGGCGGCAUGCCUAACACAUGCAAGUCGAACGAGACCUUCGGGUCUAGUGGCGCACGGGUGCGUAACGCGUGGGAAUCUGCCCUUCGGUUUGGAAUAACUGAGAGAAAUUUCAGCUAAUACCUUAUAAUGUCUUCGGACCAAAGAUUUAUCGCCGAGGGAUGAGCCCGCGUAGGAUUAGGUAGUUGGUGGGGUAAUGGCCCACCAAGCCGACGAUCCUUAGCUGGUCUGAGAGGAUGAUCAGCCACACUGGGACUGAGACACGGCCCAGACUCCUACGGGAGGCAGCAGUGGGGAAUAUUGGAAAAUGGGCGAAAGCCUGAUCCAGCAAUGCCGCGUGAGUGAUGAAGGCCUUAGGGUUGUAAAGCUCUUUUAACCGGGAUGAUAAUGACAGUACCGGGAGAAUAAGCGCCGGCUAACUCCGUG